rnacentral:tRNA from 1 species
GCAUAGCUCAGUCAGUAGAGCAUGAGACUUUGAAUCUCAGGGUUGUGAGUUCGAGCCCCACGUGGGGUG